rnacentral:rRNA from 1 species
UACGGGGGGGGCAAGCGUUGUUCGGAAUUACUGGGCGUAAAGGGCCAGUAGGCGGCCAACUAAGUCCGACGUGAAAUCCCCAGGCUUAACCUGGGAACUGCGUCGGAUACUGGAUGGCUUGAAUUCGGGAGAGGGAUGCAGAAUUCCAGGUGUAGCGGUGAAAUGCGUAGAGAUCGGUAGGAACACCAGUGGCGAAGGCGGUCUCCUGGAGCAUUCUUGACGCUGAGACGCGAAAGCUGGGGGAGCGAACGGGG